GUGGGGAAUCUUGCGCAAUGGGCGAAAGCCUGACGCAGCCAUGCCGCGUGGAUGAUGAAGGUCUUAGGAUUGUAAAAUCCUUUCACCGGUGAAGAUAAUGACUGUAGCCGGAGAAGAGGCCCCGGCUAACUUCGUGCCAGCAGCCGCGGUAAUACGAAGGGGGCUAGCGUUGCUCGGAUUUACUGGGCGUAAAGGGCGCGUAGGCGGACAUUUAAGUCAGGGGUGAAAUCCCGGGGCUCAACCUCGGAACUGCCUUUGAUACUGGGUGUCUUGAGUAUGAGAGAGGUGUGUGGAACUCCGAGUGUAGAGGUGAAAUUCGUAGAUAUUCGGAGGAACACCAGUGGCGAAGGCGGCUCACUGGCUCGAUACUGACGCUGAGGUGCGAAAGCGUGGGGAGCAAACAGGAUUAGAAACCCGGGUAGUCC
rnacentral:rRNA from 1 species